rnacentral:rRNA from 1 species
ACAAUGGAGAGUUUGAUCCUGGCUCAGGAUGAACGCUAGCUACAGGCUUAACACAUGCAAGUCGAGGGGAAACGAUAUUGGAAGCUUGCUUCCGAUAGGCGUCGACCGGCGCACGGGUGAGUAACGCGUAUCCAACCUGCCCACCACUUGGGGAUAACCUUGCGAAAGUAAGACUAAUACCCAAUGAUAUCUCUAGAAGGCAUCUGAAAGAGAUUAAAGAUUUAUCGGUGAUGGAUGGGGAUGCGUCUGAUUAGCUUGUUGGCGGGGUAACGGCCCACCAAGGCAACGAUCAGUAGGGGUUCUGAGAGGAAGGUCCCCCACAUUGGA